rnacentral:rRNA from 1 species
AUGAGCGCGACGGAGAAGAGCACGGAGGGGGAGGGGGAGGGGGAGGGGUCCCAGCCCGUGGAGGCGUUCCUCGACAUCCUCGGCCGCGUCCCGAUGGGGGAGGUGGAGGGGGCGCUGGCCUCCUGCGGCGUCGGCCCGACGGCGGAGGCCGCGGAGCAGGUGCUCAAGUCCAAAACCUGCUACGAGCGCCCCAAAUCGGCCGUCCGCUUCUUCCGCUGGGCGAAGGCGUCCGUGCAGCUCACCCCCUUGGCCUGGAACCUCCUCGUCGACAUCCUCGGUAAGGCCGCCAUGUUCGAUCCCAUGUGGGAUGCCGUCCUCUCCAUGAGCCAGGAGGGCGGCCUCCUCUCCGUCGCCACAUUCGCCUCCAUGUUCGCCUCCUACUGCGCGCGCGGCAACUUCAAGGAAGCCGCCAUGGCCUUCGACGUCAUGGAGCGCCACGGCGUGACCUCGGACGCCGUUGCCCUCAACUCCCUCCUCGCCGCCAUGUGCCGCCGGGAUGGCGGCGGGCAGGCCGCGUGGGAGCUUUUCGAACGCUACAAGACCACGGUCGCGCCCGACGCGGACACCUUCGCGAUACUGCUCGAGGCGUGGGAGAAGGAGGGGAACGUCCAGCGCGCCAAGAGCACCUUCGGCGAGAUGGUCGUUCGCGUCGGGUGGGACGCCAGCAACAUGCCUGCCUACGAUGCUUUCCUCUCCACGCUUGUGCGAGGGGACCAGUUCAACGAGGCAUUGAAGUUCCUCCAGGUGAUGCGGACCAAGGGCUGCCUCCCGGGGCUCAAGUUCUUUGCCAACGCGAUCGACCUUGUCGUCCGCAAGGGAGACCAUGCCAAUGCUAUUGCUAUCUGGCAAAUUAUGGUCUCGGAUGCAGGACUGGUUCCCAAUCUCCCAAUGUACAAUGCCGUAAUUGCCCUCUGCUCUAGUGUCGGUAACACCGACUACGCCUUCCAGAUGCUCGACGAAAUGCCAUUAAAUGGGGUCUUUGCAGAUUCUGUUACAUAUAAUGCCAUACUUGAGGGGCUCAUCAAGCAGCGCAAGGCUCGUGAGACUGAAGGUUUCCUUGCGGAGAUGAGCAAGAACGAGCAGCUGCCCUCUGCCUCCAACUGUGCUGCUGCUAUCAGCUUAUUUUGUCAGGAGUUUAACCCAUCUGCCGCAGUUGACGUGUGGCACUGCAUCGUGGAGCACCAAAUUACUCCGGCUGAGGAAUCAGCCAAAGAGCUAAUAACUGGGCUUCUCGACUUUAGCAGGUUCUCCGAGGUGAAGAAAUAUACCGAUCAGAUGCUUGACAUGGGAAUUGAGUUGCCCCAGCCCACCAUUGAAAAAAUGAAGCGAGCAUUUUACAAGGCUGAGAGGCACCACACAUAUGACCAAAUUGCACGAAGGUUGAAGCGGCGGUAA